UAAGACAGAGGCCACGAGCGUUAGGCGGAAUCACUGGGCUUAAAGCGUGUGUAGGCGGACCGUUAAGUGCCCGUGUGAAAUCCCCCGGCUCAACCGGGGAACGGCCGGGCAUACUGGCGGUCUUGGGCCAACUAGGGGUCAUCGGAACAAACGGUGGAGCGGUGAAAUGCGUAGAUAUCGUUUGGAACGCCGACGGUGAAAACAGAUGACUGGGGUUGUGCCGACGCUGAGACACGAAAGCCAGGGGAGCAAACGGGAUUAGAUACCCCGGUAGUCCUGGCCCUAAACGAUGUCGACUAGAUCGUGGUCCCUCUGACGGGUUCACGGUCGAAGCAAAAGUGCUAAGUCGACCGCCUGGGAAGUACGGUCGCAAGGCUA
rnacentral:rRNA from 1 species